GUAGCCAGUUAGCAGGCUAUCUUAUAGCACAAAGUCAGCAGUCAUAUAGCUUCACUUCCACAGAUUUCUGGUAAUAUACGCCUGAGCAUUUAAAGCAGAGGAAUGUCGGACAUCUGGAGGAAGCGGUCUCAGCUCGCCGUGCUCACCUGCGUUCCAGCGAUCAACGGCGCGACGAAGGACUUCAUCCGUGGGUUUGGCGGCAAGCAUCGGCUAGGCGUCUUCUAUCAGGAUGCAGGAGCUGGAGGCGACAAGGCCCGGCAGUCCCACCGCUGUGUGCAGAGCAAAGAGGCAUCCUUCUUGCCUUCCAUCUCCCGCCAGUAACCCCAACUGUGAGAAGGUUCUCAUGAGACAGAACGUCUCCAAGGCAUCCAGGGUAAAGCCAUCAGAGAUGCUCCAUCUAGAAGUGCUGCUGAGCUAUUACACAUGCGCUAGUCAGCGCCACCGGCGGGAAGAGAAAAAUGGCUGCGGCCACUGGCAACAACAGUGUGGUUGAAAACAUGGAACGUACGUCUCUGAUGCAGGAGCAUUUCAAGCGGAGGCUUACUGACAUCUGAAGGAAUCACCCUCCGACUCCAACUGGCGCAUCAUCAUCAGUCAAAGUUGCUGAAAAAGGGGGAAGAAGUUGUCUUACCUAUUGUGGUGAUCACAGUGAUUGCGAAGUAAAAAGAGCCGGCGAAUGUCCACUGCACGCCGGCUUUGUGCGGCUUGAGCUCCAGCACCACCUUCUCAAGCUUUUCAAAGACCUCCUCGGACAAGUUGAAGGUGUGGAGCAACUCGGCCCGGCGCAGGGAAACCUCUCUCCUCUGACUCGUCUCCUCCUGCGACUCCAGCGCGUCGAAGAUCGCGGCGCCCACGAUCAGGUAGGUGAAGGUGCAGAUAAUGAGGGCGAGGGUCCGCACGUUUUGCCUCUUCAUGGUGCCGUCACGCGUCAGGGAGACCAGCCAAGAGCGAGCGCGGGUCUGGAGGACGGAGAGCUGGGUUGGUUCAUGGCUGUUGUGCUGCCUGGAGGAGCUCUGUGUGUACUUUAUGAGGUGGGAGCUGUCCAUUCAGCACCACUGCUCCUCCCCCUGCACCUCCCCAUCUCAUUGUCUUACAUCGUGUGACCACAAGGGGCGCCAUCAUCUCUUUAAUCCUCAUUCAAACACUGAGUGCACUUUUAUACCAGGUACACUUGGGACACAUGGGUUAAAUCCUGGGUCCGGGGCCACAUCUGGCCCGUCACUUCAUUUUAUGUGGCCCGCUACAUCAUUUUAUGUGGUCCGUCACUUCAUUUAAUAUGGUCCGUCAGGUCAUUCAAUGUGGUCCGUCAUGUCAUUUAAUGUGGUCCGUCAUGUCAUUUAAUGUGGUCCGUCAUGUCAUUUAAUGUGGUCAAUCAUGUCAUUUAAUGUGGUCAAUUAUGUUCUUUAAUAUGGUCCGUCAUGUCAUUUAAGUUGGUCCGUCAGGUCAUUCAAUGUGGUCAAUCAUGUCAUUUAACGUGGUCCGUCAUGUCAUUUAAUGUGGUCAAUCAUGUCAUUUAAUGUGGUCCGUCAGGUCAUUCAAUGUGGUCAAUCAUGUCAUUUAAUGUGGUCCGUCAUGUCAUUUAAUGUGGUCAAUCAUGUCAUUUAAUGUGGUCCGUCAUGUCAUUUAAUGUGGUCAAUCAUG